GGCGUCGACCGGCGCACGGGUGAGUAACGCGUAUCCAACCUGCCUCUGACUGAGGGAUAACCCGUCGAAAGUCGGCCUAAUACCUCAUGGCAUCGUCUGCGGGCAUCCAACGACGAUUAAAGAUUUCAUCGGUCAGGGAUGGGGAUGCGUCUGAUUAGCUUGUUGGCGGGGUAACGGCCCACCAAGGCUACGAUCAGUAGGGGUUCUGAGAGGAAGGUCCCCCACAUUGGAACUGAGACACGGUCCAAACUCCUACGGGAGGCAGCAGUGAGGAAUAUUGGUCAAUGGGCGGGAGCCUGAACCAGCCAAGUAGCGUGCAGGAUGACGGCCCUAUGGGUUGUAAACUGCUUUUAUGCGGGGAUAAAGUGAGGGACGUGUCCUUCAUUGCAGGUACCGCAUGAAUAAGGACCGGCUAAUUCCGUGCCAGCAGCCGCGGUAAUACGGAAGGUCCGGGCGUUAUCCGGAUUUAUUGGGUUUAAAGGGAGCGUAGGCCGUGGAUUAAGCGUGUUGUGAAAUGCAGGUGCUCAACGUCUGCACUGCAGCGCGAACUGGUCCACUUGAGUGUGCGCAACGCAGGCGGAAUUCGUCGUGUAGCGGUGAAAUGCUUAGAUAUGACGAAGAACUCCGAUUGCGAAGGCAGCUUGCGGGAGCACAACUGACGCUGAAGCUCGAAAGUGCGGGUAUCGAACAGGAUUAGAUACCCUGGUAGUCCGCACGGUAACGAUGGAUGCCCGUUG
rnacentral:rRNA from 2 species